UCGGGUAUGGUGUAACGGUAACAUUUCUGACUCUCAAAAUCUGGUCUCCAGAUUGAGCACUCAGGGGCCCGGGGUUCGAUUCCCCGUAUCCGAG